UGAAUACGAGAUGCUACGGCGUCGAAGCAGUCUAUGUCAUACUUCCAAGAAAAGCUCGCACUGUCAUAAACAAAUAAUGCCUGUACCAUAACCGACACAGGUGGGUAGGUAGAGUAUACUAAGGGGCGCGAGAUAACUCUCUCUAAGGAACUCGGCAAAAUGACUCCGUAACUUCGGGAGAAGGAGUGCCUUAUUUAUAAGGUUGCAAUAACAAGAUCCAAGCAACUGUUUAUCAAAAACACAGGUCUCCGCUAAGUCGUAAGACGAUGUAUGGGGGCUGACGCCUGCCCAGUGCCAGAAGGUUAAAGAAGUUGGUUAGCAUUCGCGAAGCUGAUAACUGAAGCCCUGGUGAACGGCGGCCGUAACGAUAACGGUCCUAAGGUAGCGAAAUUCCUUGUCGGGUAAGUUCCGACCCGCACGAAAGGCGUAAUGAUUUGGAUACUGUCUCGGAGAGGGGCUCGGUGAAAUAGACUUGUCUGUGAAGAUGCGGACUACCUGCGCCAGGACAGAAAGACCCUAUGAAGCUUUACUGUAACUUGAGAUUGAAAUUGGACUUUACUUGCGCAGUAUAGGUGGGCGGCGUUGAUAAUAUUCUUGCGGGAUUAUUUGAGCCAUCAGUGAGAUACCACUCUUGUAAUGUUAGAUUUCUAACUUUGUAUCAUUAUCUGGUCAAAGGACAGUUUCAGGCGGGCAGUUUGUCUGGGGCGGUCGCCUCCUAAACGGUAACGGAGGCGCACAAAGGUUUCCUCUGAACGGGUAGAAAUCGUAUCUAGAGUGUAAAGGCAUAAGGAAGCUUGACUGUGAGACCUACAAGUCGAGCAGGGACGAAAGUCGGUCUUAGUGAUCUGACGGUGCUGAGUGGAAAGGCCGUCACUCAACGGAUAAAAGUUACUCUAAGGAUAACAGGCUGAUCUCCCCCAAGAGUUCACAUCGACGGGGAGGUUUGGCACCUCGAUGUCGGCAUCGCAUCCUGGGGCGGUAGUACGUCCCAAGGGUUGGGCUGUUCGCCCAUGAAAGCGGUACGCGAGCUGGGUUCAGAACGUCGUGAGACAGUUCGGUCCAUAUCCGGUGUAGGCGUUAGAAUAUUGAGAGGAGCCUUCUUUAGUACGAGAGGACCGAGAAGGACAUACCUCUGGUGUACCAGUUAUCGUGCCAACGGUAAACGCUGGGUAGCUAUGUAUGGAGUGGAUAACCGCUGAAAGCAUCUAAGUAGGAAGCCCACCUCAAGAUAAG
rnacentral:rRNA from 1 species